GGAGGAAGAACCAACAGGGAUUGCCCUAGUAACGGCGAGUGAAGCGGCAACAGCUCAAAUUUGAAAUCUGGCUCUUUUAGAGUCCGAGUUGUAAUUUGCAGAGGGCGCUUUGGCUUUGGCAGCGGUCCAAGUUCCUUGGAACAGGACGUCACAGAGGGUGAGAAUCCCGUACGUGGUCGCUGGCUAUUGCCGUGUAAAGCCCCUUCGACGAGUCGAGUUGUUUGGGAAUGCAGCUCUAAAUGGGAGGUACAUUUCUUCUAAAGCUAAAUAUUGGCCAGAGACCGAUAGCGCACAAGUAGAGUGAUCGAAAGAUGAAAAGCACUUUGGAAAGAGAGUCAAACAGCACGUGAAAUUGUUGAAAGGGAAGCGCUUGCAGCCAGACUUGCUUACAGUUGCUCAUCCGGGUUUCUACCCGGUGCACUCUUCUGUAGGCAGGCCAGCAUCAGUUUGGGCGGUAGGAUAAAGGUCUCUGUCACGUACCUCCUUUCGGGGAGGCCUUAUAGGGGAGACGACAUACUACCAGCCUGGACUGAGGUCCGCGCAUCUGCUAGGAUGCUGGCGUAAUGGCUGUAAGCGGCCCGUCUUGAAACACGGACCAAGGAGUCUAACAUCUAUGCGAGUGUUUGGGUGUCAAGCCCGAGCGCGUAAUGAAAGUGAACGGAGGUGGGAACCCGCAAGGGUGCACCAUCGACCGAUCCUGAUGUCUUCGGAAGGAUUUGAGUAAGAGCAUGGCUGUUGGGACCCGAAAGAUGGUGAACUAUGCUUGAAUAGGGUGAAGCCAGAGGAAACUCUGGUGGAGGCUCGCAGCGGUUCUGACGUGCAAAUCGAUCGUCAAAUUUGGGCAUAGGGGCGAAAGACUAAUCGAACUAUCUAGUAGCUGGUUCCUGCC
rnacentral:rRNA from 1 species